rnacentral:rRNA from 1 species
GACGAACGCUGGCGGCGUGCUUAACACAUGCAAGUCGUACGCUGAAGCCUGCUUCGGUGGGUGGAUGAGUGGCGAACGGGUGAGUAACACGUGGGUAAUCUGCCUUGUACUCUGGGAUAAGCCCGGGAAACUGGGUCUAAUACCGGAUAGGACUGCUCCUCGCAUGGGGGGUGGUGGAAAGCUCCGGCGGUAUGAGUUGAGCCCGCGGCCUAUCAGCUUGUUGGUGGGGUGAUGGCCUACCAAGGCGGUGACGGGUAGCCGGCCGGAGAGGGGGAACGGCCACACUGGGACUGAGACACAGCCCAGACUCCUACGGGAGGCAGCAGUGGGGAAUAUUGCACAAUGGGCGCAAGCCUGAUGCAGCGACGCCGCGUGAGGGAUGACGGCCUUCGGGUUGUAAACCUCUUUCGCCAGGGACGAAGGGUGAUACUGACGGUACCUGGAGAAGAAGCACCGGCUAACUACGUGCCAGCCGCCGCCGUAAUAC